rnacentral:rRNA from 1 species
AUACGGAGGGUGCAAGCGUUAAUCGGAAUUACUGGGCGUAAAGAGUACGUAGGUGGUCUAUUAAGUCAGAUGUGAAAGCCCCGGGCUUAACCUGGGAACUGCAUUUGAUACUGGUAAGCUCGAGUAUGGUAGAGGCGGGUAGAAUUCAUAGUGUAGCGGUGAAAUGCGUAGAUAUUAUGAGGAAUACCAGUGGCGAAGGCGGCCUGCUGGACCAAUACUGACACUGAGGUACGAAAGCGUGGGUAGCGAACAGGAUUAGAAACCCUAGUAGUCC